UAAGGAAUAUUGGUCAAUGGACGCAAGUCUGAACCAGCCAUGCCGCGUGAAGGAUGAAGGUCCUCUGGAUUGUAAAGCUCUGUCUUCUGGGACGAUAAUGACGGUACCAGAGGAGGAAGCCACGGCUAACUACGUGCCAGCAGCCGCGGUAAUACGUAGGUGGCAAGCGUUGUCCGGAUUUACUGGGCGUAAAGGAUGCGUAGGCGGAUAUUUAAGUCAGAUGUGAAAUCCCCGAGCUUAACUUGGGGGCUGCAUUUGAAACUGGGUAUCUAGAGUGCAGGAGAGGUAAGUGGAAUUCCUAGUGUAGCGGUGAAAUGCGUAGAGAUUAGGAAGAACACCAGUGGCGAAGGCGACUUACUGGACUGUAACUGACGCUGAGGCAUGAAAGCGUGGGGAGCAAACA
rnacentral:rRNA from 1 species